rnacentral:rRNA from 1 species
AGUGGCGAACGGGUGAGUAACACGUGGGUGAUCUGCCCUGCACUUUGGGAUAAGCCUGGGAAACUGGGUCUAAUACCGAAUAUGACCAUGCGCCUCCUGGUGUGUGGUGGAAAGCUUUUGCGGUGUGGGAUGGGCCCGCGGCCUAUCAGCUUGUUGGUGGGGUAAUGGCCUACCAAGGCGACGACGGGUAGCCGGCCUGAGAGGGUGACCGGCCACACUGGGACUGAGAUACGGCCCAGACUCCUACGGGAGGCAGCAGUGGGGAAUAUUGCACAAUGGGCGCAAGCCUGAUGCAGCGACGCCGCGUGAGGGAUGACGGCCUUCGGGUUGUAAACCUCUUUCAGCACAGACGAAGCGCAAGUGACGGUAUGUGCAGAAGAAGGACCGGCCAACUACGUGCCAGCAGCCGCGGUAAUACGUAGGGUCCGAGCGUUGUCCGGAAUUACUGGGCGUAAAGAGCUCGUAGGUGGUUUGUCGCGUUGUUCGUGAAAACUCACAGCUUAACUGUGGGCGUGCGGGCGAUACGGGCAGACUUGAGUACUGCAGGGGAGACUGGAAUUCCUGGUGUAGCGGUGGAAUGCGCAGAUAUCAGGAGGAACACCGGUGGCGAAGGCGGGUCUCUGGGCAGUAACUGACGCUGAGGAGCGAAAGCGUGGGGAGCGAACAGGAUUAGAUACCCUGGUAGUCCACGCCGUAAACGGUGGGUACUAGGUGUGGGUUUCCUUCCUUGGGAUCCGUGCCGUAGCUAACGCAUUAAGUACCCCGCCUGGGGAGUACGGCCGCAAGGCUAAAACUCAAAGAAAUUGACGGGGGCCCGCACAAGCGGCGGAGCAUGUGGAUUAAUUCGAUGCAACGCGAAGAACCUUACCUGGGUUUGACAUGCACAGGACGACUGCAGAGAUGUGGUUUCCCUUGUGGCCUGUGUGCAGGUGGUGCAUGGCUGUCGUCAGCUCGUGUCGUGAGAUGUUGGGUUAAGUCCCGCAACGAGCGCAACC